GAUGAACGCUGGCGGCGUGCCUAAUACAUGCAAGUCGAGCGAACGGACGAGAAGCUUGCUUCUCUGAUGUUAGCGGCGGACGGGUGAAUAACACGUGGAUAACCUACCUAUAAGACUGGGAUAACUUCGGGAAGCCGUAGCUAAUACCGGAUAAUAUUUUGAACCGCAUGGUUCAAAAGUGAAAGACGGUCUUGCUGUCACUUAUAGAUGGAUCCGCGCUGCAUUAGCUAGUUGGUAAGGUAACGGCUUACCAAGGCAACGAUGCAUAGCCGACCUGAGAGGGUGAUCGGCCACACUGGAACUGAGACACGGUCCAGACUCCUACGGGAGGCAGCAGUAGGGAAUCUUCCGCAAUGGGCGAAAGCCUGACGGAGCAACGCCGCGUGAGUGAUGAAGGUCUUCGGAUCGUAAAACUCUGUUAUUAGGGAAGAACAUAUGUGUAAGUAACUGUGCACAUCUUGACGGUACCUAAUCAGAAAGCCACGGCUAACUACGUG
rnacentral:rRNA from 1 species